CAAGCACAAAAGCCCAGCUCUAAACUCUAACUUGUGGAGGUUAUCUUGCUUUGGAUACACCAACUUGUCUAAAAAACUCUUUACAAACUGACUUUUGCAGUCCAACACGCAGAAUACCAAAAGGCACCAUGAAGUUUCACUGUGCGCUUACUUACACAAGAAUUAAGAUGUCGUUAUCAGCCAUCUGUUCCUGGGUCUGCUCUCCAUUUCUUCCAUCAAAGAAAUAAUUCCAGGCGUGAAACACCUCAUUGGAGCAACAAUCACCUGAAACUGGCGGAGUGCUCCAAUGCAAGGGUGGGCCUGGCUCGCAGGGACCAGCAGAAGAAACAUUUCAGAUCACUUGGUGUCACUGCAUAUAGCAGAAAUCUGACAUCCUUCUGCAACAGGAUGUUCAUGUCUUGUGGAUAGAGAAAAGGCGGUGGAUAUCUGAAGCUUUGACUUUGCUCUUCAGAGAUGACGUAAAAAAGCCUUGCCAAUCUCAUCAGUGGAAAGGAAAAAAAUAUCCGUUAGAGAACGUAAACUCAAAAAUGAGUAGAAAACCACUCUAGAGAGCAAUUACUAGUAUUCCACUGUCAAACUGGGAAGUUGUCACACUGAAUUCCUAUAUGGUUCUGUCACACAUUAGUAUUGAUCAGUACUUUCACUACUGACCUGAAGGGUAAAAGAGGGUAAGCCUAUAAAACUGUCACAAGGUAGGAAGGCUUACAAAUAUUCUCAAAAACAAGAACAGAAUCCAAAGUAAUCUUGCAAGAUAAAUAAAAUACAGACUAAAUGGAGAUUAGUCCAGGGGAAGACAACCAGAGUGAACAGAAUAUCAGCAAGCGAGCUCCACAAGGGAAAACUGAAGAAACUGGGGCUUGCUGUUCUUUUGUAGAAGUUUCUAAUAGGACAGAAAUAAAGACUGCUAUUAAGGAAAUUAACUUUUCUCAACAUCUGUGAUGAUGGCAAGAGGAAAAAGUAGUAACAUACUUCAGUAGGAAAGACUAUUAUCAAGUGUUAGCAUUAGUACUGGAAUAGGUUGUAGCAUCUUCAUCAUCAAGGUGUAGGCAAAAAUCACUUUUGUAAAAAUAAACCAACAAACAAACUACCACUUCUGUAUAGCUCAUCCUGAUUUGGGAGAGAAGACGGACCAGACAACCAGCUGUUGGGUUUGCUGGGUUUCUUCCAGUCCUGAUUCUGGAGCGAAUUCAGCUUUAUGCACGUGCAUGUAUAUCAUGUGUACCAAAGAACCGGUGUGACUAAAUAACUUAGUUCAAACUCAAGGUCAGUUUUUGAGACUCAAAAUAAUUAUAACAUUUGGAUGAUGCUAUUUAAGAGGAGCAAGUUACAGGUGCUGAGUAAGAGUGCAGGCCAUCCUUCUUAGACCUAGAAGUGAAAAGCAUGUGAACUGGAAUUGAAUGAAGCGGCUAAGUGAAAUUUUCCUUGUGAACAGGAAGCAGAGAGAGACCAGAGAGCCUCCACUCCUCUUUUCUUACUGGAGAAAGAAAAAGUUUCCCUUCAGAAAGUUCAUCUUUUACUGAGUUGAAGAGAACGGAGUAAAAUUCCAGGAAGCGUUGAUCUCACACUCCUGAAGCUCAGGCCUAGGCCUCCAUGGCUCGGUGCUCCCUCUGCUAGAGGGCAGAGAUGCAUCUUUAAACACAGUCUGCACUAUGUGCUCAAGUUUCCAAGCCUUGAGUCCUCCCUCUUCACUGAGUUUGCCAACAGACUUGGUGAAUGAGAUGGCAUUGCUGAGAGUUACCAGCUUCCCUCCUCCCUUCCCCAGGGAAUAAGAUAACAUCUCUGAACCAUUUGACUGGAAAAAAGCCCUGAGCCAAUUAAAGAGAAAACACAGUUCCUGACAAAGUACUUCAGUUCUUACUUGAUCUACUGUGGCAAAAGCAGUGAGAGGUGAACUAAACUCAAUUGUUGGCACUGGUUUGCAAAACACAUCAACACAUACAGCUGGGUCCACGUGACACUUCAAAUCUACACUUGGAGUUUGGAAUUGCAAUUAUGCAAACUAAUAUAAGAGAGAAAAGUGCCAUUUCUAGUUUAGGACUACAGUACAAAUUUUGAAGUAUACACUCAUUCCUGAUAGGAACAAACAUUUGUUUUCAAACAUUCUUAUGAAAUUACUGUUUUUAGAAAACCAUUUUGCUCAAAAUGAUUUGCUUAAAUCAUCUAAAAAAUGUUUCAACACGUCAUUUUCCAGCUUAUAUUAUGUUUGCAUGAAAGGAAAUAUUCCAAGAUGAGAAAAUUUUAAUAAUCCAUUUAGAUUUUAUUUUUUUAAAUUAGAGCUCUUUUCCCCCCAAGCAUACCUUCAUUAAAAAGAACACAAGCUUAGAGAAGAUAUUUAAGUUUACACAAAAAUAUUUUUCAACAAAUGGAGUAUUUACCAGAAGGUUCCUAUUCCCUUUUACUGAGAUCAGUAAUUCUUUAUUUUGCACAAAAAGAAUACUGUAACUGAAAUCUUUCUUAAUUGCAUAAUGAAUUCAUACUUAGAUGUGGAGCCAUAGCAAGUCCUCCCAGCUUGGGCAGACAAUGGCCUGAUCCUGUCUGAAAAACGAGAGCAAGAAUCAAGCCAGUAGAUACGGUCCUCAAACAACCUCUUUGGCAAGUGAAUACUUAUUUUGUUGUAUUUCUUUUAAACAGUCUUUUAGUAAGAAUGAUAGGUUGAAAGUAUUUUAGUAGCAGGCUGGGGUUUUUAAUUUGGAAAAUAACCUCUAACCAGCUGUUUUUAUGCACAAAUCUGCCUCGCUUUCAUAGAAGUCAUUAAAUAUAGAUGCCUACUAGCACUGAGGUGCACAGCUGAGGUGUUAACGGUAGUCAGAAAAACAAAUUGAGGAGUGACAGAAUGGGAUGAUCACAUUAUUAUAAAUCUGACAGUGGCACACCACAGAAAAUCAGCACCCAAAUAAUGUCACUCAGCUAUAAUAACUUCAGCAAUCAAUCCCUCCAAACACCAUCUUUCCGUGCAAUAAUUCCAUGUUAAAAAACUUUUUUAUAUCUUCAUUUUUCAGGAACUGCCAUGUCAGUUAAGCUAUAUUGGUGCUCCCUCCUGCAAGCUUUCAAUAAUUCCCAGUAACAGCAGCAGGCACUUUGCUAACAACUGGCAGUUAAAGCAGUCUGGCCAGCCUGGAAUCCAGGGCUCCAAGUCAGUGAGCACAAGAGUGAACAAGAAAUCAAUUUUAAUCUGAGUGACUCCUAAUACACUUCCCUUCUAAAGCUUCUCAAUUUUGACAGUAACAUAAAAAGCAUGAGAAGACAUAGGGGAAGAACCACAACUCAAGACUUGUUCACAGCUUUAUUUAUUAAUAUAUUUUUAGGAAUAUAUAAACUCAUUUAACACAGACAGGAAAUAGUCUGAAAACCACUAUUUAUAUUGCUUCAUAGCUAAAAAAUUACUGGGAAGGGGAAAUAACUUCACAGCAUUUUAGAGCCACCAUUUCCUAUUACUCCAUCUCCAGUGAUGCCAAACUCCUCACUGGUUGUUCAGAUUGUCCUAUAAAGAGAAUUUCCCUGUAUGGGGAAACCUUACUUAUCCAAAUUUAGGCAUGGAAUUACUACAAGCAACCUACUUAGAAAGUCGCUUACACCAGAUCCCAUUAGCUUUUCUAAAACUAGGAGAUUUCAUUGCCUUUCUCAAGAAAAAAACUAAAGACCUAUCUUCCCAAAUGGUGGGAAGACAGAGCAGACACAGGCUAGCUCCAGUGGUUGUGUACCAUAUCUAAUGCUCAAUCUCAUCUACAAUGAGCCAAUCAAAAGCAGGUUACAGAGGUAUUUGGGGUGAACUAAAAAGAACAAAAAUAAAUCAGAGUUACUGUAAAGUCAUCCAAAAUUUUCAGUGAUAUCAAAGCGUAACAAGGGCACUUUUGAGUCUCAUUAGGCUUGAGCUCAAAUAUAAAAGUAGUUCAGCAAGUUAAGCAACAUGCAUCUCACUAAAACAUAGAAGGCUUGUUGUCAGGCUUCAGUAGAACACUGGAAAUUCAAGCCAUUUUGACUGGAUAUUUUACUGACUAUAAAUUUAAGAUCAGGUGGAGGUAAGCCUCCAUCACCUGUUAAGGUGAAACACCUAAUGACAACAAAUGCAGAUUUAUUCACAUAGUCCCCUGCCACUGUUUAAAAUCUGUAAUUUUGGUGAGUACUUCUGCUACUUAUUUUCAAAAAAAAGGGGACACACACGCACACAAAAGAUCCCAGGGACAAGUGGAACGAGACCUCUAAAUUCACACAAGGAACUCCUAGUUUCUAAGGGGUUCUGUCUAAGUACAGAAACUUGGUUUUAGCUUGCAAGAUGUAGAUACUAAUACAUCAUUUUCUGAAUAUUGUUUGACUUUUACAUCUGUAAAGCAGGAUUAUCUUUUUUUUAUAAUUACACUAAGAGAGCAAUAAUGGGAAUUUCUUUUACCCUUCAACAUCAUGAGCUACUCAGAUGAGAACUUUGUAUUGCAUAAUACAUGAUGCCCUGCUUUACAUGUGAUAUGCUUUACAAAAAAUCUUAGUCUAAUUGUGAAAGACUACUGUUACAAAACAUUCUCAUCACUGGCAUGUUUAAUUGAGCUCCUGAGAGGCAGUAUCAGUAAGACUUAGGGAUAAAUAACCAGAGUCCCAUUGGUCUCACCAAGAAUCCAUUGAUGUUUCAUAAAUCCUAGUCAGUACAAAUCUAAUUGAGUUACCAUGCUGAAUUAGCUUACAUCUAAAUGGCAUUCAUGUCUACAAAUGGAAUAAUUAAAGUCUAGAAAAUGGGAUAUAUCAAGUGCUAUCCCAAGUGACAACAGCAAGACAUUGUAUUCAUUCAAUCGACUGCUUUAAAAAAGCAGAUGUAAUACUUGAUUUGGGCUUGAUGACGAGACAGUGUUAUUGAGUCGAGCAACGACACCAGACAGAGAGUGUUAAAUAUUGUUUCAUAUCUAUCUAUUUAUAUUUAUUCUAAGAGACUCUUCACUUUGAUUCUUUCAGAUUUUGCUUUAGGAUACAAAGUCUUACAUGACUACAUAAUCCUCAUUUUAUAUCUAGGGUAAUGAAAUCAGCUACCCUCAUUAGUGCUCUUCCAUUGCUAGAAUUCUAAGAUGAAUAGCAAAUAAAUCAGCAAAUAACCAGGUUUGCAAUAGAUCUUUCAAAGCUACUAAUAUUUUUAGCAUUUUAGGCAGAAUAGAGCAAAUAGGACUGCUUGUUUUGUCACCUUGCUCAACCACCUUCCUCUACAUGCUGAACUAAAUAUGGUACCAUUACACACUUGCUGGAAUUCAGUGUCACCCUGCCAGUGGCAUCCCGUGCCACAGACUGACAGCUACCAGAUGCCACUACUUGGCUGGUGGGGGUUUAGUUAAAUACCAGCUGCUUUUUUCAGAACAAACAUAAUGCAUGGCUAUCUCAAACUGUAUACAAAGCCAGUAUUAAAUUAGAAUGAAUCUUUGCAAUGCUGGAUAACAGAUUCCUUUAAUUCAGAAUGUAGUCUAAUUUGCAUGCAUAUUUUAUUUAUUACACCAAUUAAGUUUUGCAAAUAGUUUGCAAUGAGGUCCCUAUGACCUAAUAAUUCACAAUUACUCUUGGGAUAUCCUGCCCACUUUAGCACGUUUUGAAUAAUAUUGCUAUCUCCUUGAGAAAAAUAAUGCAUUUUUACAUGAUGGAUUUAUUAAGAGUGUGCACACUUCUUUCUUAACCAAUUUUACUCUAGGCAGGGUUACUGGAACUAUUUUGUAGGCCUCUGUUGUAUUGGUUAAUGAGUGCUUUCCUUCAGCUUCCUGUCUUUCUGGAUACGUGUCUUCUGAGCUCUUGUGGAAAACCCACAUAUACACCAUCCAGAUGAGCACUCUGGCUGGUAACACCAUAUAAAUGAAUAACCACCAUUUGAAACUGCCAGGAUGAUAUUAUGUUUCUGCUGUAGCAUUAAGCAAUGGAGCAUGUUUAAAAAUGGACAUUGUGGAACACACUAAUUUCAGCUGAACCUACUCAAGUCUAGUGAACUUGCUUCAGAUUUAUUCUGCAGAGUUUAACUUUCACGAAAAAUGCAUCAGAAAAAAUGAAAUUUCAAAGUCACUGCAAUAUAUUCAGAUAUUGACAUGUAUUAAUGUAUUUUGUAAGAACAAGUUACCAUGUAGUUUGUUCUAUUUUAAUCAGCUUUAAAUAAGGAACUUUAAAGCAUUCAGCUAAUAAUCUCCAUUUUUAAGGGAAAAAACUGUAGCAUGGAAGUACAAGGAAAUGCCAGUUUUGUUUAAGCACUGUACUAAAAAUAAAGUGUUUGUGACACUCUAAGAUCAUUUAAACUAUAUCUUUCAUUUCCACUACAAACAACCUAACACAACUCCCUCCUUAUAAGACAGAAAAUCCCUAUCUUGCAAAGACAGUUAAGAAUGUCUUGCAAAGACAUUCACUAAAAAUAAUAAUGAAAAUAAUGAAAAAACAGACAUCAUACAUUUUGCACUUGAUUUUCACAUACAAACUUAAAAAUCUACCUAUGUUUUUGGAGAAG